CAUAUUUUUAACAUUCUCUUUGAUUACUAAUAAGAUGAAAAGUACUGAAUAAUCCUCAGUGAUUAACAGUACAGAAGACACAUAUUUAUUAAGAACUCCAAUCAUUCUAGUAUCCCCAUUAAAAAUAUUUUCAUUUCCAUGUAGCUAUGGGUCCAUACAACACACAAUUGUGAGAGCAACUCUCAUCCUUAAGUCCUUAUUUUGCCCUGCCAGUGAUGUAUUUUUCCAUGCUUUUGACUUUCCUUAGCCUAGUUAGGUACUGCAUAGGCAAAAAUCAAUAUAAAUAAAGUGCUAGGUCCUGCUACUUUUUUUUUCCUUUGUUCUUUUUUACUUUUUAUUCCUGAGUUCUGCUGCAGAGAGAAGAUGGAAUAUUAGUCUCAGCUAUUGUAUUUGUCUGUGAAUUGUGGGUUAAUUGUCAUCUAAUUUGUUACUUUUUAAUGAACUCCUAAAUUUCAUUCACUUUUUUCUUAUUCAUUUGUACACUAUUGAGUAUCAACAGCAUCUCAAGUGUUCUGUAGAGGGGAAACAGCUAUUUCUUUGAAUAAAUCCCUAUCAGAACUUGCUUUCAAACAAUUUUGUCUCUGGAUUCAUCACUUUGCGCUGGAGACCUUCAACCCACUGAAGGAAAUAAAAGAAAUGUGAUCUAUAAGGAUAACAGAAAGUAAAAGGAGCUCUUCUGAAGGGAUUGAUUCAAUAAUGAUCGUAUUUUGCUUAGAACGAUGAUGCUAUAAGAACACCUAAAUUUAUAUAACAGAGGAAAAGAAAAACGACGAAGUUUGUUUUGAUUUUGGUCAGCUUUCAAUUCUUAAAUAUGUUAAAAAAUGAGGAAAAGCAUCUCAAGCUCAGCCAGCCAUUUAUUUGAAACAUAAAAAAAAAUGCAAUCCUAAAAGUUAGCAUUUCGUUGUCAUUAUUUAAUAACUAGGAAUAAAAUCCUUAAUAUUUUAAAUUGAAGUUUAAUCAGCAUUCAAAGUAAAACAGAUCUCUGUUUUCCUAGAUUAAAUUCAGUUCUUUUUGGCUGUGUACAGAAUUUGCAAAAAAGUGGGAGCAUUUUUUUUCCUUUUUUUUAAAUUCAAGACUUCACAUUGUUUAAAUUUAGCAACAAUUUCCUACAAACUAAAAUUUCCUUUAAAAUUUUCUUUAAUAUUUUAAUCAUUAACUUCUGGAAACCUCAGAGUCCCCAGAUUCCUGAAGGACUGUAGGCACUAAGCAGAUUUAAAAUUGGCAUUGAUUGGCAGUCUCUGAAAGUAAAUUGCUCUAUCUUUGUAAAAACUAGAGUCUAUUUUAGGUUUCACUCACUUUGUAUGUUCUGCUAGCCAGGACAAAAAACAACAACAACAAUGACCAAACAAAAAACAAAAAUACAAAUCAAAAUACAAACCAACAAAACAAAGAAACAAAAACCCAAACAAACAAAAACAAACAAACAAACAAAGCCCCACAAAACUAAACAAGCCUUACUCUAAAUUACCUUUGGAAAAAGAAAAAAAAGAAAAAAGAAAAAAUAACUUCAGAUCACAUUAUUCUACGAGACUUGAAGGUGCUGGGGAAAAAAACAAAACCAAAAACCAAAAACCAAACCAAACCAAAAUAACAAAACAAAACAAAAAAAAACAAACAAACAAACAACAGAAUUCAUUUGAAAUCAAGAAAUUACAAGACAUUCUGCAUAUGAAAGAGAAAGUUAUUCUGAAAUAUAUCACUGGGUAGCUGGCAAAAAUCCUGUGCUACUCUGUGUCACCACAGGGAUCCACUGAAUGCAGAAAGGUAUAGGUAUUGCGGUGAAGACGACAUUGCAUGCUCCUUCCCAAAACAGUGUCAUAGCUGUGUAUGAGUUAAGGUUUAUGUGUACUAGAGUCUAGUACACAUGUGUGUACUAGAGGAACAGUGAUGUUCCUAUUGUUAUAUUCCCUAUUGUUAUAUUCAAUUCUGGACUGAUUUCAAAGAUCAUCGUAAAAUAUGAGCUGAUUGUAUAACAGUCAGGAACAUAGAAUCCUAAAAGAACAUAGGUUGAAGGGAUUUCUGGAGGUCACCUGGCUCAAGUCAUAUCACUAUCAAGUCAUAGCAGGUUGCUCAGUGUCAUACUCAGUCAACAGCUGAAGAUGGAGGUUCCACAACUGUCCUGGGCAACCUGCUGCAGUGUUUUGUCUUCCUCAGUGUGUGAAUUUAAUUUUUCUAAUAUCUAAUUGGGUUUCACAUGGUUGUACCUGUAGAUUUGGAGAUCCUAGGAAUUUGGAAGCUAACGAGAAUUUAGAGGAAAAACAUUUUUAAGGAAAAAGCUCAGGAAAGAGCAAAUUGAUUAUAAAUAGAGAGCCACAAUACCUAGUCAAAAUCUGCAACACAGCUGCUAUAGUUUUCCAAUAAGUGGCUCAGGAUCCAUUAAGAAUGAACACAGCACCUGGUUCCCGUAAGGACAGUAUUAUGAGGAGUCACAGUUCUUAUAAGGGGUCAUGUUACCUUUCCCUCCUUCUUCAGCGUGAGCUCAGGACUAGAGAGGACUCCUGAAGGGAGAAGCUCAGUUUUCCACAUUUAAUAUUCUUGAGACCAGUAUUUAUAUCUGUUUCUUCUGCAGCUGGAAUACCCUAGAAAAUUUUCUUUAUGCGGUGGUUUGGGGAUCCUGGAAUAUGCCAUUGGUGGAUAAAACCUUUUCUGGUCUUAGCAUGUGAGAAUUAUAUGGACCUCACACAUCUUCUAAACACAUCUCCAUCCAUAAGGAAGAAUGCUUCUGUGAGGUAGGGAAGUGACACCCUGGCCCCUGGUCGAUAUCAGAAGAGUAGGCAGACUGACCCCUCCUCUGCUCGGGCACAGAUUUCUCUGCACCUGGCUUCAAGCCGCAGGUCUGCUGAAGCCGAGAGCCCUCCCCUUAGACGAGAACGCCAUCUAAGGCAACUUCCCAGGACUGGGAGCACCUCACCUCCUCAUUUGGACACUGUGAACCUGAUACCCUUGCCUGGAAACACCCUCAGAAUGAGGAAAGGGACAACAUUCUCUGUGGACUCAUCAGUACCGCAUAAUUCCUUUAUUUUUGGAAGAGGAAUUCAGGAUAUGAAUCCCUCUUAGAAGAAGCCCAGUAAAGUGUAUUAAAUACAACUAUUGUGUUCUUUCUUGCAUUGACUUGCUCUUGUGAUCAUGGCAUCUCUGAACACUGAAUGGGAACUGAUACCUUGUAGGAGAACUUCCAGAUGGUGCUUGAAUACUAUGGGACAUCAACAUCACCUCCAGGGUUGGACAUAAUGGCUGUUUUGGUCAUUGGUUUGGCCUGGAGGACCAUGGUACUUCCCACAGUCCCCGUUCCUCAAACUCUUUGAAAAAAGGACAAGUUAAAGUAAUUUCCAGGAAUUUUCAACCCAUACACACUGCUUGUUUGUUUGGAUCCAGGCAGCCUGACAGGCGCCAUGGGAGCCAUACGAGGAGGUGCUUUGCCAUGGAUCCUGCAUCCAGUGUACCUCAGCCACAGGCAGAGGCUGGGUAAAAUUAAUCCUUCAACAAAAAUGA